rnacentral:rRNA from 1 species
AGAGUUUGAUCCUGGCUCAGAACGAACGUUGGCGGCGUGGAUUAGGCAUGCAAGUCGAACGAAUCCCACGGGGCUUGCUCUCUGGGGGAAGUGGCGAAAGGGGCAGUAAGGCAUGGCUAACCUACCCCGGGGACGGGGAUAGCCCUCCUAACGGAGGGGUAAUACCCGGCGAGCUGGCCGAGGGGCAUCCCCCGGCCAGGAAACGAACUUCGCCUCGGGAGGGGGUCAUGUAGUAUUAGCUCGUUGGCGGGGUAACGGCCCACCAAGGCGGAGAUGCUUAGCAGGUGUGAGAGCACGACCUGCGCCACUGGCACUGCGACACUGGCCAGACUCCUACGGGAGGCUGCAGGCGAGGAUCUUCGGCAAUGGGCGCAAGCCUGACCGAGCGACGCCGCGUGUGCGACGAAGGCCUUCGGGUUGUAAAGCACUGUCGAGGGGGAGGAAAGCCCGCAAGGGCCUGACCUAUCCCUGGAGGAAGCACGGGCUAAGUUCGUGCCAGCAGCCGCGGUAAGACGAGCCGUGCGAACGUUGUUCGGAUUCACUGGGCUUAAAGGGCGCGUAGGCGGGCCGCCAAGUCAGGGGUGAAAUCCUCCGGCUCAACCGGAGAACAGCCCCUGAUACUGGCGGCCUCGAGCGGGGUAGGGGCCGACGGAACUUCCGGUGGAGCGGUGAAAUGCGUAGAUAUCGGAAGGAACGCCGGUGGCGAAAGCGGUCGGCUGGACCCCUCCUGACGCUGAGGCGCGAAAGCCAGGGGAGCAAACGGGAUUAGAUACCCCGGUAGUCCUGGCCCUAAACGUUGGGUACUAGGUCGUGGACUUGACAUGGGUUCACAGCCGAAGCAAAAGUGCUAAGUACCCCGCCUGGGGAGUAUGGUCGCAAGGCUGAAACUCAAAGGAAUUGACGGGGGCUCACACAAGCGGUGGAGCAUGUGGCUUAAUUCGAGGCUACGCGAAGAACCUUAUCCUGGGCUUGACAUGCGCGAAAGCGGCAGGGAGUAGGGCGCGGAAACGUGUCCCCAACGGUAUCCAGUCCGGAGCCUGCUACAGGUGCUGCAUGGCUGUCGUCAGCUCGUGUCGUGAGAUGUCGGGUUAAGUCCCAUAACGAGCGAAACCCUUGUCUCCAGUUGCCAGCGGGUCAUGCCGGGGACUCUGGAGAGACUGCCGGUGUUAAACCGGAGGAAGGCGGGGAUGACGUCAAGUCCUCAUGGCCUUUAUGCCCAGGGCUGCACACGUGCUACAAUGGCGCGCACAGAGGGAAGCCAACCCGCGAGGGGGAGCCAAUCCCAAAAAACGCGCCCCAGUUCAGAUCGAAGGCUGCAACUCGCCUUCGUGAAGUUGGAAUCGCUAGUAAUCGCAGGUCAGCAACACUGCGGUGAAUGUGUUCCUGAGCCUUGUACACACCGCCCGUCAAGCCACGAAAGGGAGGAGCGCCCGAAGACGCCGAUCCAACCCGCAGGGGGGGUAAGCGGCUACGGCGAGACUCCUGAUUGGGACUAAGUCGUAACAAGGUAACCGUAGGGGAACCUGCGGAUGGAUCACCUCCUU